AGAGUUUGAUCCUGGCUCAGAUUGAACGCUGGCGGCAGGCCUAACACAUGCAAGUCGAGCGGUAGAGAGAAGCUUGCUUCUCUUGAGAGCGGCGGACGGGUGAGUAAUACCUAGGAAUCUGCCUGAUAGUGGGGGAUAACGUUCGGAAACGGACGCUAAUACCGCAUACGUCCUACGGGAGAAAGCAGGGGACCUUCGGGCCUUGCGCUAUCAGAUGAGCCUAGGUCGGAUUAGCUAAUUGGUGAGGUAAUGGCUCACCAAGGCUACGAUCCGUAACUGGUCUGAGAGGAUGAUCAGUCACACUGGAACUGAGACACGGUCCAGACUCCUACGGGAGGCAGCAGUGGGGAAUAUUGGACAAUGGGCGAAAGCCUGAUCCAGCCAUGCCGCGUGUGUGAAGAAGGUCUUCGGAUUGUAAAGCACUUUAAGUUGGGAGGAAGGGCAGUUACCUAAUACGUGACUGUCUUGACGUUACCGACAGAAUAAGCACCGGCUAACUCUGUGCCAGCAGCCGCGGUAAUACAGAGGGUGCAAGCGUUAAUCGGAAUUACUGGGCGUAAAGCGCGCGUAGGUGGUUUGUUAAGUUGAA
rnacentral:rRNA from 1 species